UUGAUGAGACGACUCACAUCCGCUCCGAUUGAGAGGCUUAGGAAAAGCAGACAACUGCAUGGCAAGCAAAAGAGAAUCGUCUCUGAACUGCAUUUCUUGACUUUAAACCCACGCAGCCUCCCAGGGCUGAUGGUUUCCACAAGAGGUUUUCAGAGCUCAGCUACUGAGGGGGAUACCAGCCACUCUGCUCCUGCUGGAUUUCACCUCUAUCUCCUUCCCACCUCAACCUCGGGCAAUUACAUGUACGUAGCAGAAGGUACCAAGAACUUAUAGACCCUCCUUGCUGGUCACUGACUUUCUCCAUUCCCAGGGCUGGAAUGAGGCAAUUCCACCCUUUUGGACUUAAACAUCAGAGAGAAGUUGAAAAUGUGGUUGCAAGAAGGAAUCACGAUGCAGAGUUGGACUUUCUGUGUGCUGUGCCAGGUGCUUCCCUUCUGGGGAGCAAUGCAAGGCUCCCUGCAGAGUUGCUCCCCAGUCACCACAUGGAUCCCAGAUCCUGCUAACAAAAUGGAAUAGAAAAUAAAGUGUUAAAGACAU
rnacentral:lncRNA from 7 species